rnacentral:lncRNA from 1 species
CGCCCCCCGGCCCCCUCUCCAAGCGCCUCCUGCUGCCCACGACCGGCCUGUUCCCACGGGGUCGUUCUUAAUUCUACUCCCGGCACUCUGUGAGUCUGUCGCGUCCCGGUGUGCACUGCUCAAAGCGGCGGGAGCAACUGGGGCAUUUUGAGCCUCUUCACAGGGGGCACCACUGGGGAUGCUGCCGCUGUUGCAUAUCCACGCGCCUUCUGUGGGUGGGGACUCAGUUGCCCUCCUGGGGGCUCACGACUGUGCCAAAUCCGGGAUGAAGACGGACGGACUGAGUCUUGAGCAGAAGGAGGAUGUGAGGUGGAAGAUAUGGCCGCAGCACCUUGAGACUGUGAGGCAAACAGAUACACGGAUGAGAUGGAGAAGGGGACCAACGUUGCUUGUGACGGACAUGCUCCCUCCCACAACUCCAUCCAACCCGUAGUGCCACCCCUAGGAGUGGGUCGUGGCCCUGACCCCAGGAGGAAAGGAGACCCGAUGCCACUCUCAGUGGGGAUGCUCCAGCACUGCCCCCCCUCUCCCCGGCUGCGGGCCAUGGGGAGGGUGACUGAAUCCCCAGGAGCCCUCAGACCCAGUAAUUUGAAAGGAAGCAAGGGAAAGCCACCGCAGUGCCUGAGACGUCUGAAGGCCCGAGCGCCCCCGUGCGGGAGAGAAUCCUCGCACACUGCCUUGCAAAAGCCGCCAGUGCUACUGAGAGAGGUUGCGGUCUGUUUGCUCCUGCGCCAGAUGCGUGCCCAGCGGUGCCUUACGCUGCCGCGAGCAUCCCUGAGCGUCUGUUCAGCUCAUUCCUCUUCUCCCCAGCGCCCAGCCCCAAAAUUCGUGAAAGCCACAGCAGAAGCCAAAGCAGAGAGUUGUGACUGGGGCCUGGGAGUGGGAGACUGCAUAGAGAUGUGAACUAAAUCCUGACCUAUCCUUUGCACUUUGGGUAUGAAUCGAAAAGCGAGUACACUUAAAACUGGUUAGUAAUUCAACCUCUAGCUGAGGAAAACAUAGGGAAAGACUAGAAGUCAGGGUGGAACCCAGGGAUGGCCAGUUACUUCUUAAAACGGAGAGGAAAAGGAAAACAAAAGUACAUAAACCACCCCCGCCCCUUUGCAUUUGCACAGAAAUGCCUGCUAGGGUGUUGAAAAAUGACCUUGAAUUUAACCUCAGGCUCUAUUUAUUUAAAAAUUGGCAUAUCUACCCUUAUUCAAUGUUAUUCAACUGGGUAGGCUUUGGGUGGUUUCAAGUAGUCUGUAUUAGUUCAUUUACCCUAGUAAAAAAUACUCUUCUGGGAGCAAGGAAAGACCUGGGUUAAUCUCACCUCAGACACUAAAUUUGUGACCCUUAGGCAAGUCACUGAAAUCUCCCUCAGUCUCAGAUUAGUCAGUUAUAAAAUGGGGGUAAUAAUACUUGUCCUGUAGUCCUUGUCUCAGAGGGUUGUUGCUGGGCUCAAAUGAGUUAGUUUAUGUAAAACAAUUCUCAGACUGUAAAGUACUAUUUAAAUGUCAAUUAUUAUUAUUACAUAUAGCCCUAUGAGAAUAGUAGGAUUUAGGGGCAGAAGAGCAAAAAAGAUUGUAAACAAAGUAGACCUGCUCAUUGAUUUCAGAAGGGUUAAACAAACUGGAAUACAUGAAUGGAUUGCAAUAUCAUUAUGUUGUAAUAAACAGUGUAUAUGAUGAAUAAUGAGAAGCA